AUUGAACGCUGGCGGCGUGCUUAACACAUGCAAGUCGAACGCGAAAGGGGCUUCGGCCCUGAGUAAAGUGGCGCACGGGUGAGUAACACGUGGAUAAUCUGCCCUUAUGAUCGGGAUAACAGUCGGAAACGGCUGCUAAUACCGGAUACGCUCAAAAUGAACUCUGUGGGGAAAGGUGACCUCUGCUUGCAAGUUACCGCAUGAGGAUGAGUCCGCGUCCCAUUAGCUUGUUGGUGGGGUAAUGGCCUACCAAGGCAACGAUGGGUAGCCGAUUUGAGAGGAUGCUCGGCCACACUGGGACUGAAACACGGCCCAGACUCCUACGGGAGGCAGCAGUGGGGAAUAUUGCGCAAUGGGCGAAAGCCUGACGCAGCGACGCCGCGUGAGGGAUGAAGGUUUUCGGAUCGUAAACCUCUGUCAGAAGGGAAGAAACCGCACUGUGCUAAUCAGCAGUGCCUUGACGGUACCUUCAAAGGAAGCACCGGCUAACUCCGUGCCAGCAGCCGCCGUAA
rnacentral:rRNA from 1 species